rnacentral:rRNA from 1 species
GUUUGGCACCUCGAUGUCGGCUCAUCACAUCCUGGGGCUGUAGCCGGUCCCAAGGGUAUGGCUGUUCGCCAUUUAAAGUGGUACGCGAGCUGGGUUUAGAACGUCGUGAGACAGUUCGGUCCCUAUCCGGCGUGGGCGUAGGAUAUUUGAGAGGAGCUGUCCUUAGUACGAGAGGACCGGGAUGGACGGACCGCUGGUGUACCUGUUGUUCUGCCAAGAGCAUGGCAGGGUAGCCAAGUCCGGAAGGGAUAAACGCUGAAGGCAUCUAAGCGUGAAGCCCCCCUCAAGAUGAGAUAUCCCAUUCGAAAGAAGUAAGGCCCCUUAGAG